AACUAUAAUACAGUUGCAUAGAGGUUUUGAUAUAAGUUGGGUGGUCGUUUAAUUUUGCGGUGAUUCUUCAUAAUUUUUAUCAUCUAGGUUGAUAUAGUUAUCGAUAUGAAAGUGUUUGAUGUAAGAUUAUAUUUAAAACCCAACACACCAUGGGUUGGAGAUUGCACGCCUGGCUGUGAUUGUCAAGACAUCGACCUAGAAAGUACUUGCAUGAAGUAAUGCUGCAUAAAAAACACAACUAAUUUUAAUUUUACCUAUUGUUAUUAGAGAAGUAUGUUCAAUAUUCCACAAUACAUAAGUAACAAGAUUAUGUAUAUGAACAUAAAAUUUAAGACUGUAAAAUAGGAAAUGCUAUUUUACAGUAGAAGCUACCAGUCUAGAUUAAAUGAACUUAGAAAUAACUACAGAGAUCGGGGGCUAUUAUUCCCUUGAUUUAAAAGAUUUGACAUUUAAGGACUAGCGGAAAUAUUCCCAGACGGCGUCUGAGAGUUGACUCUUGUGAAUUUAAAGGAAUAUAGACAAUUUAAGAAAAAAGAUCACCCGAUUGACUGGUAUAUAAAAAAAAAUUGCCCAUUAGCAGGUUUUGAAUACAAAAAGA